UUUCGCAAUGCCCGAAAGGGUGACGAAGCGACGCCGCGUGAGUGAGGAAGGCCUUCGGGUUGUAAAGCUCUGUCAGGAGUUAAGAAAUAUAGGUGUGUUAAUACCACAUUUAUUUGACGAAGGCUCCAAAGGAAGCCACGGCUAACUCUGUGCCAGCAGCCGCGGUAAUACAGAGGUGGCAAGCGUUGUUCGGAAUUAUUGGGCGUAAAGAGCACGUAGGUGGGUUUGUAAGUCAGAUGUGAAAGCCUUCUGUUCAACGGAAGAAUUGCAUCUGAAACUGCGAGUCUUGAGUGUAGGAGGGGAGAAUGGAACUUCUGGUGGAGCGGUGAAAUGCGUAGAUAUCAGAAGGAACGCCGGCGGCGAAAGCGAUUCUCUGGCCUAUUACUGACACUCGGUGUGCGAAAGCUAGGGGAGCAAACGGGAUUAGAUACCCCGGUAGUCCUAGCUGUAAACGAUGGGCACUAAGUAGAGGGGUUUUA
rnacentral:rRNA from 1 species